GGCUCGGUAGGUUAGUUGGUAAAGCGCUCGUCUAGCAUACAAGAGUCAUGGGUUCAAAUCUCAGCCGAGCAC
rnacentral:tRNA from 1 species